rnacentral:lncRNA from 1 species
UUUUAUAUGGCUGGAAAAAGGACAAAGGUACGGUGCUGGAGACUCCAGGUCAUCUCAAAUUGGCCUCCUUCCCAAUCUUCCCCACUCUAGCUCCAGUGGGCAAGAUCUCUUAUGGUGCCGGGAAGCAGUCUGUGGGUCUCGGGUUGUCAACAUGAACUAGAUGGCUCUACCUUUCUGUGUAUGAUUUCUGAAUUCAGUGUAUUUCAUGUCUUAACCUUCUGAAUUGUUUGUUCUCUCGUUUUCCAUGUUGUUAAGGAAAAUUAGAGGCUAAGUGAGACUUAUAAAUUUGCAUGUAGUUUCUCAGAUCAGGAUAAAUGCUCACCUGUUGCAGAACGGGACUCUGCUCUUGCUUUACCCAGGAUGUGUUUCCUAGUUCCUUCCUAGAGUGGGGCCACACCCUGCUCCAGCCCUCCAGACCCAGCUCUCUGCUCUGACAUGAUUCCACCAGACUGUAUUCCAGCUGUCCUCCCUAACCUGGACCUAGAUAUUUUCUAUCUUUUCUUUUUUUUUUUUUUGAGAUGAAGUCUCACUCGGUGGUCCAGGCUGGAGUCCAGUGGCACAAUCUCGGCUCACUGCACCUUUGUGUCUGGCUGCUUCUCAGCAUUUUUUUUUGAAAUUCAUCUAUUUUGUUGAGUGUAUCAGUAGUGUGUUCUUUUUUAUAGCUGAGCAGUAUUUUAUUAUAUGGAUAUGCCACCAUUUGUUUAUGCAUUCACAUGUUGAUGGAGUCAUUUCUAGUUCAGGUCAUUUUUUUUUCAUUUGGCAAUUUAUAUCACAGGUACCAUUAUCCUCAGUUAGUAAAUGAUUGUGUACUAGUAUGAUUAUAUCAGUUUGUAUCUUUGGAGGAA